UCAGGACGAACGCUGGCGGCGUGCUUCAUACAUGCAAGUCGAACGAGAAUCUGGUGCUUGCACCAGAGGAAAGUGGCGGACGGGUGAGUAAUAUGUAGAGAAUCUGCCCUUUAGCGGGGGACAACAGUUGGAAACGACUGCUAAUACCCCAUAUGAGCGUAACUGAAAUGUUAUUCUUGAAAACUCCGGUGCUAAAGGAUGAGUCUGCAUCUGAUUAGCUAGUUGGCGGUGUAAUGGACCACCAAGGCGACGAUCAGUAGCUGGUUUGAGAGGAUGAUCAGCCACAAUGGGACUGAGACACGGCCCAUACUCCUACGGGAGGCAGCAGUAGGGAAUUUUGCGCAAUGGGCGAAAGCCUGAACCGCAGCAACGCCGCGUGACCGAAGAAGCCCUUCGGGGUGUAAAGGUCUGUCAGUGGGGACGAAACUUGACGGUACCCACAGAGGAAGCAUCGGCUAACUCCGUGCCAGCAGCUGC
rnacentral:rRNA from 1 species